rnacentral:rRNA from 1 species
GCCAUGCCGCGUGUAUGAAGAAGGCCUUUCGGGUUGUAAAGUACUUUUCAGCGGGGAGGAAGGGAGUAAAGUUAAUACCUUUGAUAAUGACUGUAGCCGGAGAAGAAGCCCCGGCUAACUUCGUGCCAGCAGCCGCGGUAAUACGAAGGGGGCUAGCGUUGCUCGGAAUUACUGGGCGUAAAGGGAGCGUAGGCGGACAUUUAAGUCAGAGGUGAAAUCCCGGAGCUUAACUUCGGAACUGCCUUUGAUACUGGAUGUCUUGAGUGUGAGAGAGGUAUGUGGAACUCCGAGUGUAGAGGUGAAAUUCGUAGAUAUUCGGAAGAACACCAGUGGCGAAGGCGACAUACUGGCUCAUUACUGACGCUGAGGCUCGAAAGCGUGGGAGCAAACAGGAUUAGAUA